CCUACGGGAGGCAGCAGUGGGGAAUAUUGGGCAAUGGGCGCAAGCCUGACCCAGCGACGCCGCGUGAGGGAUGAAGGUCUUCGGAUUGUAAACCUCUUUCAGUGGGGAAGAAGCGAAAGUGACGGUACCCAAAGAAGAAGCACCGGCUAACUAUGUGCCAGCAGCCGCGGUAAUACAUAGGGUGCAAGCGUUGUCCGGAAUUAUUGGGCGUAAAGAGCUUGUAGGUCGUUCAUCACGUCGGAUGUGAAAAUCUGAGGCUCAACCUCAGACCUGCAUUCGAUACGAGUGAACUAGAGUUUGGUAGGGGAGACUGGAAUUCCUGGUGUAGCGGUGGAAUGCGCAGAUAUCAGGAGGAACAUCAAUGGCGAAGGCAGGUCUCUGGGCCAAUACUGACACUGAGGAGCGAAAGCGUGGGGAGCGAACAGGAUUAGAUACCCUGGUAGUCCACGCCGUAAACGGUGGGCACUAGUUGUGGGGACCUUCCACGGUUUCCGCGACGCAGCUAACGCAUUAAGUGCCCCGCCUGGGGAGUACGAUCGCAAGAUUAAAACUCAAAGAUAGUAGACGNGAGAGACGCGACGACGACGACGAGGAGGAGG
rnacentral:rRNA from 1 species